UACAGAGGGUGCGAGCGUUAAUCAGAAUUACUGGGCGUAAAGCGCGUGUAGGCGGUUGUUCAAGUCGGGUGUGAAAGCCUUGAGCUCAACUCAAGAAAUGCACUCGAUACUGGAUGACUUGAGGACCGGAGAGGAUAGUGGAAUUCCCAGUGUAGUGGUGAAAUACGUAGAGAUUGGGAAGAACACCAGUGGCGAAGGCGGCUAUCUGGACGGUUUCUGACGCUAAGACGCGAAAGCGUGGGGAGCAAACAGG
rnacentral:rRNA from 1 species